rnacentral:rRNA from 1 species
ACGGGAGGCAGCAGUGGGGAAUAUUGCACAAUGGGGGAAACCCUGAUGCAGCAACGCCGCGUGAAGGAUGAAGGCCCUUGGGUUGUAAACUUCUGUCCUUGGGGAGGAUAAUGACGGUACCCUUGGAGGAAGCCCCGGCUAACUACGUGCCAGCAGCCGCGGUAAUACGUAGGGGGCAAGCGUUAUCCGGAAUUAUUGGGCGUAAAGAGUACGUAGGCGGUCUAUUAAGCGCAGGGUCUAAGGCUACGGCUCAACCGUAGUCCGCCCUGCGAACUGGCAGACUUGAGUGCAGGAGGGGAAAGCGGAAUUCCUAGUGUAGCGGUGAAAUGCGUAGAUAUUAGGAGGAACACCAGUGGCGAAGGCGGCUUUCUGGACUGUAACUGACGCUGAGGUACGAAAGUGUGGGGAGCAAACAGGAUUAGAUACCCUGGUA